GAGGGUUUUACCACUUUCUUUCAUUAUUUUUCCAGGAAGCUCACAUAACCCUUUGUGUCCCAGGCAGGAAUAGGCACUUUUAUAGAGAAUGGAGUCUGGUGGUGGAUCCGUAAAGGGAUUUGCUUGUUAAAAUGACUUCCAGGGUGCUUGCUAUGACUGUUGGUAUUUUGUAGGUUGUAUUUUUAAAAGCACUCUUCCCUUUCUGUCCCUCUUUUUCCCUGUGAAGGGCCUCAUGCCAAAACCGUGGGUCUCUGGGCAGUGCGCAGCCCACCAGCAGCUUCCAGGCAGACAGUGCUGCUGAGCAGUGACAGAUGGACAGGAAAACGUGCUGCAGACACAGGACUUCAUGCUGACAGCCUGUUCUAAUUCCCUGUGCAUCCCCUGCAGUUACUGUGCUAUUCUUUUGACACAACGUGAGCAGACAUGUGAUGGACUCAGUCCCAGGGAUGCCCCAUGCCAGUACACAGCGGGUCAUGUUUACUGCUGCUGGUGAUGUGGGGACGGCUCCUUCCCACCUGCUGAAGACACUCUGCUGUCCCUUUGGAGCAGUCUGUUGUGGCUCAGCUGUCCUGAGCGACCCUGUGAGCUUUGCUGCAAGCUCUGGAGUUUGUCAUGAAUGUUUGCUGCACUCUGCAAGGCCAGCAGACGAUUCCUGCACUACUUCCACCAAUUUGAGAGUAACUGGAUGCUUUCACCCCUGGGUUUUGGUCAUGGUGUGUGUUUGUCCUGUCCAUUACAGCAAGUGUAAUUAGAACUGCAAAGGAAGGGAGCAGCCAGUCCAUAAAAACACCCGCUCUGCAACAGUCUCUGUCCUGACCCUGUGGGAACUGGGAACAAAAGACUGCUGGGUUUUGGGGAGAAUAAUUUCCCAAAUAAUGGGAGCACCCCUCAGGUCCCAGCCAAAAAGAGCUCUUGCACUGCUCGGGAAGGCUUUGCUGUGGAAAUGCUCUCACUCACAGCUGAACAUGUUUUGCUGAAUUGGGACCCACUGGAAGCAUGGAUUGAAUAGCUUCAACCAGCAACACGGAGACCCUCGCCUAACCCAUCACCAUGCAAAUAUGCCUUCUGAUGGAGUGAUCGAAGGCUCCACUGCCACACACAGCACUGCAAGCACAUUUUCAGCUUUGCAGGGCCCUCUCCCGCAGGCAACUCCAUCCUGUAGGUGGGAGGGCAGCGCUUCCCUCUGCCAGCUGCUGGCCAUGGGCAGAGGCUGCCUCACAGAGACCCAGCUCCCGUCCUUCCCAUCUCUACAACUGGCCCCAGGAAACAGCGGACUUCUUAAAAAUUGAUGGGGUUCAUUUCCUGCCUCUGUGCACUCAAAGCAUCAGCUCUGCCACUACCAGCAACGUCCACAUUAAUUACUAUCAUAAUGCAAGUACCUCUGUGUGCGCUGCCUUGCCUGGAGAGUCUGUCCCAGCAGUGACCUGCAUUUUGCUUCCCUCAAGACCUUGCCCAUGGCUGAGGUUUCCAGAGCUGCUGCAUGCACAGCAACAAAGCUGGGAUAGCCCCAGAGGAGGAGAGGCAGCAGGAAGGGUCUGCACACAGAUCCUCUCUGAUCCAGGCUCAGAGGUUCACCUGGUGCAUGGGUUUCUCCUUCCCUCCUCCCUGUGUCCUAUUGAGCAGCAACACCCCAAGUCUGUGUGGAGUCCCCACGCUGAGUGCCCUCAGCUCUGAGCCCCAGGGUGCAACCUUCAGCAUUCCACCACUGAGUCCCUCCAAACAGAAAUUUUCAGUUUCCAAGGAAAAAAUAAUCUGGUCAUGGAAAAACACCCAGCUCGCUCAAACAGAGCUGCUGGGGUUGGGGCCAGGCCAUGCUGGUCUGCUUUUCAGUGCCCUGUGGACUGCAGAAAAUUAUGGAUUCUUUUUUUUUUUUUUUUUCUUUUUUUUUUUUUUUUUUGCAUAAAAUUAUGAUUAUCCAGUAUUUAACACAAGCAUGUCUUAGACCGUGAAAUGACUUGCAUGAGAGAGAUAAAACACUGGAAAUUAAGAGGAAGCAGAAGCCAGCAAUGCAGAGAUCAUUGGAAAAGCCUGUUCAGCAUGGACCGAAGAGCUCCAAUCCAGGUAUCGUAUACAGCCUCAUCAAAGCCAGACCAAGGGUGUCCUCUGAAUAAAUGAACCUACCAAAAUGAGGAUCUGGAGGAGACUGAGAAGCACAGGAGAACGCAUCCAGAAUACUUCAUCACUGCCUUUUCCUAUCCACCUAAAAAUCCCAAAGGGCCUGCAGGCAAUUGGUAACAGUUCCUCAGAGAAAGGUCUAGGAAUUAUAGCAGAUCAUGAGCUGAACAUGAGCUAUCAGUGUUGCAUCAAGAGGCACGGUGCCCUGGGAGAUGUGUGCAGCAGCAUGACCUACCCAGGCUCACUACAUCAUCUCUCUUGCUUGUUCAGUGCUGGUGAGGUCUACACCAGAGCAAAUUCUGGUAUUGGCAGCUCGUGUCAAAAGGGAGGCAGCAACACUGCAGUCAGCAUGCAGGGAACAGUGAGAAUGAUCAGAGGUCUACAAGACAUGACCUACAAAGGAAGAUUGAAAGAACUGGGUUAUUUAGCCUAAAAGAGAUGAUGGGAGAAGAGAUGUGAUAACAGUCUUCAAGUGCUUAAAAGGCUGCUGCCAAGGGGAAGAGAAUAAUCUGUUCUUUGUGUCCAUGGUGGACAGGACAAGAAAUAAUCGGCUUAAAUUACAGCAAGAGAAAUCAGGUUAGACACCGGGACGAAACCGGCGAGGCUGAAGCUGGGCAGAGAGUGACGGCAGUGCUCUUGGAGGCAGAGGGGUUCUGUUGGGUUGGGAUGGCCGUGGGGAGAGGCCGAUGUGCUUCCAUAUCCCUGCAAGGCCUUUGACACAAGGUUUGGUGUUGCUGCAUUUCCCAGAGCAAGGUCAUGCUGCAGCCAUCACUGCUGGGAGGAUGAAUCCCAGCCACUUUGUCUUGUGAGAACUUCCAAGAUGGCAAAACAUGGUUUUGUGGCAAACUGAGAGCACAAGUCAACAUUUUCAGUUAUUUUUCUUGCAGUGAAAAAAUACUUGAAAAUGGAUUUUAUUUUUUUUCUCCCAUCUAUUUCAGCCAUCCUAUUGUAACACAAACAGAGCAGAGUGCCCCAGUCGUGCCCCAUGGGCAAGCCAAAAUGACAUAGCCCAAACAAAACCUGUUUGAUAACGUCCUUGCUGAAAACAUCAGUGAACUCAAUCUCUUCCCUUCCAAACAAUUAGAUGGAGCUGACAUACCAUUUUCUGAGUGAGGAGAUGUUUUCCAACUGGCUCAGAGGGUUCUUGCUACCUGAGAGGCAAAAAGAAAAGGAAAGGCACGCACUUGUCCAAGAGCAGCACUGCUUCUGCUGGCAGCGUGGUGCUGCUGAGUGCGCACCGCUGGCCAAAGAUUGAGAGAUGCUGUGUUCUCAGGAGAGAUGAUUAUUACCACUGGAUUCCAAGAGCAAUCCUUUAUUUUAAAACCUGCCUCCUAAUUCAUUUUAUAUUUACCCAUAAAAUGUUGGCCAAGGUUUCUGAGAGCUGCGGUCUUUUGGAAAGGCCAAGUCUCCAGCGGAGCUGACUCAGCACAAGCUCUCCUGAUUGAAGCGGUGUGAAUUCGUACCACCCCUGGGCAGGGAUGGAAACAGAGGAGCUGGGCUCUCCCUGCCUUUAUUUUCUGCAAGGAGCAAAGCUUGCUGCUGGCCUGCAGGGCUGGGAAGGGGACUGACAAAGUGCAUAAUUCUCCCUGCUUGUUUCCCCCCUGCUGUGCAUCCCAACUUUUGUUCACUUGCAGUUUAAUACAUCUGAGAUGAGAAUCAGAAGAAAGAAAAAGAAAAAAAAAAAAAAGAAAAAAAAAAAUGAAAUCCCUGUAAGUAAUUAGUUUUCAGCCUUUCUGCCCAGCAUCAAGGAGGGAUGCAGAAAAUACCCAGCUUAUUAAAACAUCCCCCUGCUUCCACCCAGGAUGCUCUGGGACAGGCAUGCCUUGCCUUGGGUCAGGCAUCCCAGCUCCUUCCCACACCACAGUGGGAGCACACUGGGACUUGGACUAAUUCUAACAUAACCCCUUGUGCUAAGCCAGUUUCUGCCUCCCUUUUCCCAUGUUGCUGAUUGCCCUAGUUGUUCCCCUAGCUCCUGGGCACGAUGGUAAUGCCUUCCCUGUCUGUAUUUGUGAGGCAGUGGUGUCCUAAGCAGCUCAUGCUUGGGAGAUCAGGUCUCCUCUGCAGAGCCUGGCCUUCAUCCUCAUGCUAUUGUGGGCCCUCCUCAUCCAAGGGCUGGGAAGAGAAGAAUUUGAUACUGCAGACUGCAGUGGAGUCCUAUCCCAGGUGGACCAAACUUCCUUUGCUUCAAGGAAAAAUUCAUGUUAGGAUGAAGGGAAAAUCAGGAGGAAGCUGAAAGUUGCCCAUCUCAUACCUUGGAGAGGAGCUGCUUCUGAUAUCUCUUACAAGGCAUUUGAGUGGUGGCCAGGCUAUGAAAUAAAGCCAAGGCCAUUUGAAUUGACAGCUCAUUCCACACACAAGCAAAGCCCAGAAGGCCAUCCAGAGCUGCAUAACAACAACGGGCUAAUAGAUAAGUACAUAACGAAAACCUAAUGAGAACACCAGUAUCUCCUAAGUUCAGCUUCAUUCAGAAAGCCAAGAAUAUGGAAUUGAGUCAGUUUGUGUCCAGUGGCCAUAAUGAAUAUGCCACAGGAGAUGCCCGGAAGGAAUAAUACCAUAAAUUGGCAAGGUUGCAGCUGCAUUCAUCUGCUCAAACAAGAGCUGGUCAUCCAUAAUCCGGCAGUAUCAAAGACCAGUACAUCAGUUCCAAUGUCAUUAUUUCUAGCUUCAAGUAUGGGUGGGAACACUCAAAAUCUGACAGCAGCCCCAACAGAUGUGUCACUACUGUGAGAGCCAGUGCUGGAAGGCCAUCCAGGGGUAUGAAGCAGAGUUAAUUUAUUCUAGCUAAUGCUGAGGAUCAUCAGGGGAUUCAAACAACCACCACCUAGUCCUCUGGAGCAGGCUGUGAGUAUGUGUCUGGGACAUGCAUCAGUAAUGAUCUAUUGCAGCUGGAGUCUGCAGCCCCAAACCUGUGUUUUGAGCACCCUACAGCUGGCUCAGGAGCAGCUUGCAUUGAUUUGGGAGCUGGUCUCCUUUCCUAAGGGGCUAAAAGACGGGUGCAGGGCAGUUGUCAUCCCCAGUGUUGGCUGUAGGGGACAGGGGAAGGAAGUCCCCAGCGAGGACCUUCUCCCCAGGUUGUUUGCAGGGGAAUCGGGGUGAUUGGAAGCCAGCAGGCCUCCAAGCAUUGCACAGCGUUAUUCAUGUAGCAGCUAAUGGAGCUUACUCAAUCCAUAAAGAUUUUUAGUCAGGAGUUUGAUGUUAAUUAUGGGCCAAAAUAUUUAAUAGCCCGUUACACUUCCACGAGGCAUUUUUUUUAAUUAAAAAAUGAUAUAUUGCAGAAAAGGGGAAAAAAACAGAGGGGAAUAAUUGAAGAUUGUUUUAUUCUGGAAUGACCUGAGGCAGGGAAGGCAAUGAGGAGCCAGCGUGUUGGGAAACGUGAUGGUAAUGGCAUAGACCUGGCAGCAUGGGAAGAGUGGAGCAAGGUGGGAGCAGCUGAACAUCUGGGAGAAGGAGCCCUAAGGCGGGUGGGUGGGUGAACAAUGAGGGGGUCUGUGCUCUGUGCUGGACUGCCCGACCUCUUGAGUCAUUUGUGCUGCAGAAGACCUUGGUUCAAACCCUUCUUUCUGCAUCUCUAUCAGCCGCCUCUCAGGAAAAACAGCUAAACCCCCAGGGUGGAAAUUAGCCUGGAAUAUGUCAGGGUUGAAGAAAAUCUGACAUGUCUCGCUCUGACGCUACUCCAUUUUUCAUUCAACGUUUAAAGAUGAGUUGGAGCAGGAGCUGGCUUCGGAUGCAUUCAGAUGGGCUGUGCAAAAUGGAAGGGCUUCAGUAGAGCAAGUCAGCACGUCCCAUGCCCACCCUGCCCCAAACGGUGCCGACUGGCUGAUGAAGGCACAGGGAUGGGUGAGCGCCAUAGGGACGGAGCAGCUUCCUGGUCACCACAGCCACAUCAGUGAGGCCUGUGUGUGAUGAGCUGCCCCGUUGCCCCCUUGGGGCUUGCGUGGGGACAUGCAGCACCAGAUGUUAAUGGCACUGUGUGGGGACAGCAAAACCUGGACUAAGAGACUGGAGUCCAUCAGCUAGGCGGAAGGCGAAGCGGCCGAGCUUCAGCUGCACACACAGCAGGAGGGAGGGGGAACGCGCCGGGAGCGAGAUGCAAACAGACCCAGGGAGGGGGAAAGCAGAGGCGUCAUGGAAGGGCUGGAAGAGAAAAUGGUUUCCUUGGGAAGAGGCUGGCAAGUCUCAGCUGGAAAGGGACAGCAAGGGAGAGAUGAGAGAGCUGCUCUGGGUUGGAGAGAGAAGAGGAGCACGGUUUGGGUAAAGCUGAGCUCACCCUGGCCCUUGACAUGGUAAUGAUGCAGACACAGACGUGUGAUAAGCCCUGCUCUGCACACACUUUAAAAUCUAAGUAGCUUAUGAAUAAGUAAUAAUCCCUAUUCCCAGUGCCAUAAUCUAUAUUUAAUUAAGAAAAUAACUAAAUGGCGGGAGUAAAAGGGGCUGUGUGGGGAAAUGGAGACAGAAGCACUGUGAGACAAGCUCUGGUGGGAACGGGGACAAAAGGCAAACUCAGCAUGGUCGUGGUGGCAUGGUGGGGCUGCUGGGCUGGGCACAGGGUGACCUGCAGGAGGAGGUCUGCCCCAGCGACUGCCAGGGUCAGCACUGAGCUGAAUGCUGAGCAGCUGCCCUGUUGGUCUGCUGUGUGACUUCGUGUUCCCUCCUGCUCCAUUCUGGUGCUGAUGGUGGGCUGCAUGGAAAGUGAUGCUCCAACGUGCCCAAGCACUGUUUGACAGUACCCAAAUCACAGCCUUUGAUACUGUUACAACAUGCUGCUUGGUGCCUGUGAUAAAGCAUUCUUGGCAGGAUGCUCCAAAUGUCUUGCACGGACACAGAAAAGCGAACCCUGCCAGAAUAACCCGUGCUGAAAUGGGAAGAGAGCAUUCUAGGUGAUGCCAAGGGCAGCUCUGAUCAACCUCCACUUUGGACAGGAGCAGAGUGUGGUUCCAAAGGUACCUCCAUCCAGGGACUCUACAGGACCCUUUCACCACCAACAAAAGCUCUUUGUAGCUAAAGCCCCACACCUUUCCCACCCAGCAUGUUGCACCAAGGCUGCAAAGUGUGGCUGCAGCCCUGCUCACUUAGCUGUGCUUCUUAUUUCCCUAGUGGGGAUCUGCAGUCACCUCUGCUCCUUUGGUUGUCAAUAGUGAAACUGAGAGCACACCUUAAGGGCUCGGUCAAAGAAAAGAAAAAAAAAAACAAUCUCAAUCCACAUGCUAUACUUUAUAAAUAGGCCAUCUGGUUUUUAAAUUGAAAAACAACAAUAAUCACUGCUGAGAGCCCGCUGAACAAAAGCAGCCUUAUUGCCACUGGGACAGAUUCAUUCUCACCAACAGAAACAGACAUAUUUUUCAAGCUGCUCUUGAGCUCCUGAAGUUGCUAACGUCCCACUGCAUCACGGUGACUGCAAUCAGGUUUUAGCUGCACUCUUCUCCUCUAAGUGCUGUUUUGGGGCAGUGUGGUGGGGAGUCUGGAGAAAGCAGUUCUUAGCUGGGUGGUAGGGAGCAGGGGUGGGAUGGGCUGUGUUGCAGUGGGCAUAGCAGCCAGGCAAGCUUAGCUUUCUGCUACUGUUAAGAGAAGGAGAAAAGCAUAAGUUCCAGAGAGGAGGUCUGUCGAGGGUGCUGAGCAGGAGCAGCCAUGGAAGGAGCCACAUACCACAAUCUGGAAGUCUUUGCUUCCUCUCUUCCCAGCGCAGUGAGCUCACUGGGAGCUCAGUGCUGGCCCAAACCCAGCCUGCCCAGAACAGUGCCCACAGCCAGGCAUGCAGCCAAGCAGGUGGGGAACAGGAGUGCUGGAGCUCGCAUUGUUUUAUCUGGGUUUGGGUCCUUGAAUCAGAAGGCUGGACACCAUUAGCCGUUGCUGAUCCAGAGCCAGGAUCUGAACGCAUGCGGCAGUGGCUCACAUCGCUGGAUCCCUGCCUGGGUGCUGCUUCAGGCACGGCUGCCAGCAGGCUCGUGCCAUUGGCCUGCCCAUAUCACAGUCAGAACAAGUGAUGUGGGACUGAUGGGAUGCCAUCAUCCUGGGCACACCAUGGCACAGGAGGUGCGGCUGAGAGGGUCUUCUCCGUGCCAGAGUCUGAAUGUUGCCUUUGGGCAGGAAGUGAGGACCUGUAACGUUGACCUAGCAAAUGAUGCUGGCUGCUCCGUGCUGGAAGAUGUCGUUCUGAGCACAGCACAUGGGUUCAAAUGUUAUGGAGAGAUAAGAAAGGUGCAGACUUGGAGGUGGAGGAGAAAGGAAAGGAACAAAAACAAUUUAAUAAUGAAUAUAUUAUGUAGACAUGUCAUGCCUCUUGCCUGCUGGCAUGGAUUAAUAUCCAUAAAUCAAAGAGGAAGGGACUGUUUUAAAUGCUGGAGAUGGAGGCUGGUCCUCAGAAAAUUGCUAGAGGGGCAUUAAUAAGGAGAGACAUCUGGGAACGGCUCCAGGUGCAUUGGCUGCAUGCAGGGGAAAUUCUGCAGAACCAGUGUCAGCUGGAAUGUAUUCCUGUGCUGUGGGGACCCUGGGCCCCCAUGUGCAGGCUGGAGGAGCCACGACUGAGGCAGGACUUUCUAUCUGCCUCAUCUGUGCUGGUCAUGCAGUCGCCAUCUCCCAUCCCCCACAGUGACUGGGCCCCCAAGGAUGGGAGCUGCACCUCUCCCAGUGAGCCCCAGGUAAGGGCAGUCCCUGAGCACUGCCCCAUAGGGCUGCACUGAGAUGGCAUUGUGCAACCUCCCCCAUCCCUGGGCAGGAUUUGUGCUGGCUGGGGGCUCCUCUCCUCACCACAUCACUUGCUAAAGCAGGGAUAGAGCACUGGGAUUGCACUAAUCUCAUUUGGUGUGUGUUUCCACAACCCUGAUCUGCAGCCGAGGGGAAGGGGCUGGGAGAAUUUUGCACUGCAGGGGAACCACCAGGGAGGAGCAGCUCCAGGAGAGAGCAUCCACUGUCACACACAUAUGCAGAGAGAGGUGAGAAACCUGGCUGGUAGCAAGGGAUGCUACAAAGCAUCGUGUUCGUGGUAUGAGCAGAUUAUAGGAGAAAGGGAGAAGGCAGGAAGGCUGUAGGUGGAAAAUGCUGAGCAAAUGGCCCACACUGCAGCACCACUGCUGAUUUUUGUGGGGUCUCUAUGAGCUGCAAUAAGAGGAAAAGAAGGAUGAAGAAGGCUGAGCAUUUGGAAAUAGCUCGAUGAGCAGCCCCAGGUCCAAACAGUGGAGUGAGAGAGCGGAUGUGGGAUGGGAACCUCAAGCAAGGGAUCCCUUGGGCUGCUGCAUGCAAACCCACGUGUGACAAGGGCACAAGCAGGCUCAGCACGCAGAGUGGGGAAUUGCUGUCUGACUGCAUCUCUCCCUGAUUUCAUUGUGUUUUGUUUAAUUGAAUUGCACACACGCAUGCACACAGAGCCCCUGUGCAUUGUGUGAACUCUGCAAGGAAAUGAGCAGCAUGUUGAGGAGGUGGGAGCGAAGCAGGUAGGUGGAAAGGGGCAGAAGGAGAGACCUGAAGGGGGGCAGUGGGUGGGCUGGGGUGGGGGGCACAGCUCAGUCCUUCUGUCAGCUCCCUCUACAGCCUGGGCUGCUCUCUGAACACGAGACCCUGACCCAGGAGGAGGCAGCACUGCCUCACUUCCCAUUGCUGCAUAUCUGCAGUGUUAGAUGCGUGUCCAGCCUGGGCUGCAAGCAAAGCCAAGGACAAUGCUGCUCUGUGAUGCUCUGCAGUGCCAGAGAAGUGUGAGGUUAAAGGACGUGAGCAUCCUGCCCAGGCUUGCUGUGACAGGCCUCGCAUGUGCUUAGUCACAUCAAGCUAUGAAAACACUCUUGGAACCAAGACAUUGAUUCAAAGGAGCAGCAGCAUUGCAAAUACAUCUGCCUGUGCAAAGGAGAACUUCAAAAGGGCUGACAGUCACUGAGCCCAGCAGUAACCUUUGGCUAAUUAGCUGUCUUGAUUUCCUUGCAGUUUAUUUUUACACUUCUCGUGCUCUGAAAUGCAUUUACUGUAAUGUCAGAAAGGUCAUGGUAAAUAAAAAGCUCCCUAGCAAUAACUAUAUCCGCCCCACUGGGCUUUGGCGACUGAUAACUUGUGGGACAGGCAGGUUGGCAGUGCUUUGCUGAGGGUUUUGUCUUGCACAGGGCUGUGCUGGGGGCAAUAGAGGUUCCUGGGGCAAAGCAGGUAUUUCUGAGCAGUGUGAUGGACAGAGGGCACAUGUAGAAGUGCUCUCCUGAGGUGAAGACUCAGGUGACCAGAAUGGGGAAGUGAGGUCAGGAGAGCAGUGAGUAGAUAGGUGGGAGCAAUGCUGAUGCUUGUAGAGAGGAGCAGGUGGGACCCCUGUACCCCUGGAAGGAAAAAUCCUGUACCAGCCAUCGUGCUGCUUCUCCACCCCCACCUGCAGCUCUUCUAGGCACAGACACAGCCCUUUGCUCUACUCGUGGUGCCACAUCCCCAGCAGGAUCUGACCUCCUUGCCUGGCCUAGCAAAGCCUGCCUGCCCCGGAGAAGCCAACAGGAUGGAUAGCUUCCAUUUGGCCAAGGUCUUGGGGUUAAACUGGGGGGGUGACCACAACCCUGCUUCUCUCCACAGGAACAUGCAGCCCAUGCUGAUUGCAUGUGGGCAUCCUCCUGCAGGCUCCAGCUCAACACUGGGCAGAGCCGUAUCACUAGAAAGACAAAGGGUGAGAAAACAACUCUGUGCUGUGACCUCCAGUGCAAGCCACUCAGCGUGUGGCUCCCCUGCAUUGUGCACAAAGAUCAGUGGAAGGAAGCGUGGUGCUGAGAAGACACUGUUGUGUUAACGAGCAGAAAUAAAGCCACUUGUAGAGGAUGCUGCUUCCACAGGGUGGGAUUUCACCCCAUAUCUCCUCAUGCAUGGGCUGUGUCAGUACCGAGUCUGCAACAUCAUGCCAUGGAAAGCAAAAAAGGAAUAACUGCUGGGAACCAGUGCCCUGGUAGAACUGGACCUGCACCACGGGAUGUGCUACUGGGAAGCAUCCCAUGGUGAGGACUGCCCCAUCCCACCUCGCUCCGAGAGCAAGGGCAAGGAGUAAGACAUCAGUGGGAUCAUUAAUUUCAUUGUGGGUUUACAAGCAGUGAAAUCUGCUCCUUCCUCUCUGCAGAGUCAGCAGCUCCCCCCACCAUGUAUUACAUUUUAGUCUGUAAGUGCAAAGUGAUUUCCGUUGAGGGCAGGGACGCUGAAGCACAGAGAAAAAGGGAGAAUAAUAUCUUAUCUUCCUUUAAUCCCCACCAUCCCAAAGGGUCGCAGAGCCGUUAGCUUCCCUUUCUAUAUGUACGCACAGUUAAUUAGCAUUGCUAGAGAACUGCAGGUAUUCUCAGACUUAGUGGAGGGAAUAUCUUGUAAUAGGACGGUAAGCAAAUUGUUUCUGCUGCUUCUAUUACAGCCGGCUUUGAUUAUCCGGGGUAAUGGGAUAACAGGGACAAAGCAAAAACAUGGAUAACAUGAAACCUAUGCAAAUGAAGCUGGGAAAAAAAGUGCUGCUGAGAGUAAUGGAGGAAAGAAAGGUCAGCAAUGCUGAUGAAGGAGCGUGGAGAUCCCUGUGCUAGCACUGCCAUGAGCUCACAAGCCCAUGCAUAAUGGUACCUGGGUUCACAGAAUCACAGAAUGGCCAGGGUUGGAAGGGACCUCAAGGAUCAUGAAUCUCCAACCCCCCCUGCCACAUGCAGGGCCACCAAGCUCCCCAUUCAAUACUAGACCAGGCUGCCCAGGGUUGGGAGCUUCUACCCCGGGCAUGGAGCUGCUCAAGAGAAGCUGUGGGAUGAAAGUGGCCUUGCAGAUCCAUAGGUCCUGGCCCUAAAGAGGGAGCAGAGAUCUUCCCUGGAUGGUACAACCAAGUUACAGCAGAGGGAGGGGAGCUGCAUUAAAGCCAAGCACUUCAAAGCCUCCACAUGAGGGAUAUGUCAUUAAAAUAAAUAAGAUUUGGGCACCCAACCCUCCUCCUCCUUACACAAGCAGGAAGAAGCCCAAUUUAAAGGUCAGCAUCUUAAAAUCUUUCACUGUGUAUAUACCAGGAUAACUCAGCUCCAAACAGAAACCCCACACCCGCUUGAUGAGCCACUCUUUGUAGGAGCAUGGCAGGAGCACCGAGAGCCCAAUCAGUGCAAGGGAAGGGAUGUGAUAAAGCAGGAGGAGAGAGAACAGAGGAGCUCCAAGAAGAUCCAGCCCCAACCACAUCUGCUUGGGCAAAGGACCGGCCCAGCAGUCCUUGAUUUGCUCUGUAGGCCCCCAUCCCUAAAGGGGAAUUUCAAAUCCACAACAGCAACGUCAUGGAGGCAGCUCUGAGAAAUCUCUGGUGGUGGGUGGAUGGAAAGGGCACCCGUGGAGAUGAGCCAGAAAGAAGAGAGGGAGGAAUCUUGGAGGAAGACUAACCUUCUUAAUAGGUUUUAUUGAUUUAACCCAAAGAGAGAACAGUAGGGGGAAACUUAUGCCAUUUAAAUGCAAACCAGCAAUAAAAAUAAUCAUUAGAGUCAUAAUCUCAAUCUGUUAGCAUUUUAUGUAGAAAUGAGCUUAAUGGGAAAUGUUUUCCAUGUAAACUAUUUGCAUUCACUUAGUACGAAUAAGCCUCUUAAAUAUAAUUCAGUCAUUACCACUGAGUUUUAUUAAGAGGUUGGUUUGGGUCCUAAUUGCUUUAAAGUGUCUGUCUUGGGAAAGCCGCUGGCCUGCCCCAGCCAGGAUUUAAUGUUCAUAUCCCCAUGGAUAUUCUUGUUUCCACAUGGAGAAUACAUGUGGAUUUUGAUGGCGUUCAGAAAACGUCACUCUUCACCCAAACUGCACUGAGAUUUUGGGACUGACCAAGGAGGGGCCGCAUUUCUCAGUCAGAUAUUGGGGUCUUUUCAGAGGAAAAGUAACUUCAGAGCACGUUUCCAGGCCCUUCAUUUCCUAGAAACAGCGAGAAGCAUCUGACAAUCUUUCUUUGCUAAGAUUUGCUUUCUUUGCUUUCUCCCUAGUAAAAUAAGAGGAAAACAUAGGCCAUAGGGAGGGGGAAUCAGAGGUGCCCAGCCGCUCCAAAGAGGCUUUUUCUGGCCACUGCCCUGUCCCCAGGAUCAGUCCCCAUGGGGACAUGGCUCUGUGCACGUGCAGAUGCUCCAGGGAUGUCACCAGCCCUGUGCCACCCACGCCACGCGCACCUCACAGCCACAAAGAGAGAAAUAAAUACCCUCUUCUGCCUGGGGACACCUUUUAAUCUUCUUGUUAGAUUUUCAUGCCCCAGUCUGGAGGCUCAGUGGGGCCAGCCAUGAUCUCAUUUUGCAUCCCACCCACGGGGCUCUGCACAGCUGAGCCUGCUGCUUGUGCCACGUGCCGGUAGGGGCUGGGGUUGCUGCUUCAUGGCAUCCCAACCCUCCACAACAGCCCAAAUCCUAUCCCACUAGGAAAAGCAUCCUAUGGAGGGAACAGUAGUGAUGCAAUCAAGGUGCUGGACCUUGCUGGUGGCAGGACACACAGACACCACAAGCAGUGGCUCUCCAGGAUGCCAUGGCAGAUGCUGCCAGGCAGGGCUCAAAGGGUGGCUGGUGCUGCCUGGCACAGCACUCCAUUGGGCCAGGUGACGCUGCCCACCUGGUGCAUUUGGGGUUUCAGAUCUCUUCCAGACCAGCCCCCAGAUUUUGCAAAAAGCUGGGUAACUUCAGGAUGUGUGUGAGGUUACCCUCACCAGGCUCAGCUAAGAGUAAUCAGAGCUUCAGGCCAUAAGCCGAUUCCUUGUGCAUCUCAGGAAGGAAUUAGCCCUGUCUCCCCCGUCCCACACCACCAUGCAGCAUUUGCACAGCUCAAAGGACUUGAGUCCCAAUGCCGAUUUUGUCCCAGGGUAACAAGGGCCCUAUGAGAGGCAGGGGAACUCUAUGUCAGCCACCACCUCCCCCCUCCCUGAGGCUCCUGCCUCGUUUCUCCCCCAGUUCUGCUUCUGCUGGCAGCAGGAAUUCCUCUACGUUUGCUGAGCAACGUGUUGCAGUCUGCAAUAGCUCACCCUGGCUGGAAGCUCAUCCUUGUGUGUAAAUACUGUGUGCAACUGUGUCUUCAUUUCAUGUUAUGGAAGUGCAUCCAAAGCAGCUAAGCAGACUUUCUCUGCAGUGUGGAUGGUGUAAAUGAUCCAAAUUUAACAUGUGGUUACAUGGUCUGAAGAUUUCAUUGAGCUUUCAGGUCGGAUGGCACUGUAACUGCAGUCCGGCCUCCUGGCUGCUGGGUUUUGCCCAGGGGUUUAAAGCGAGUUGGGCUCUUAAGCUCCAACCUUCUGAUGCACAAUGAGUCCAGUUUGUAAGCAGGAGCAGUGGCUGCUGCAGGCAGGUGGUUCACAACCCACCCGAAAACCAAAGACCAGAACCUUGCCCAGCAGCUCUGAAGGGCAGCAGGUUCUGGCUGACAGCACAUGCACAGACUGGGUUAUUUUGCUAUAGCGUGUUUGACUUGUGAAGUGAAGGUAAUGAAUGGUUCUGAGGUCAAAGCCGUUAUUCAAAAGCAAUAUUGUUAUCACUGCUUCCAUCUGUAAGCCUUGCUAUUCAGAAGCCAGCGCUGUCACAGAACAGCAAGACAGGUGAUUGCCUCGGGUCUGCCAGGUGGGUCACUGAGACAGACUGGGACUAAGGGACCGCUGAGGAGAGAUGUGGCACCAGCAGCCCAGGAGCCAUCCCACAUCCCUGCCCCAGGACUGGGUGGCAGUGGCACGGGGACGAGGGGCUGGGAAGGAGCUGCAUGUCCCCGUGCCCAAUGUCUUGUGCCACAUGGCAGAUUCCCAAGCAGCUGGGAGAGGACAAUGAUUUCUAUUGCCAGUUUUCUAAUUUAUCUAAUGAGCAAGAAAAUAAAUCAAGCUGACGGUCACCCAGGUGGUUCUGAGCUUCUGCUGGCUCCUCACGGUCCCCUUGUUCCUCCAGCCCAUUUGAUAGCAGGGUUAUAACCUGAGGACGUGGCAAUAAUUCCUGCUAUAAUCUUUUCUUUCCUAACGUCACUUAGCAGAUGGAGUCAUUUAGAGGUGCUCAUGUUUAUAUGAACGGCUUGCCCUGAAAGGGACGGAGCCGGGGAUGCUGGCAAGAUGUUUGGGAUCGUUAGCCUAGAAAAUGCUUAGCAGGGGAAGCAGUUGGCAGGCAGAUUUCACGGACAUGGCGCCGGCAUCUUCUGCCAGCAAAAUUACAAGGCUGAAAUCCUGGAGCUGGAUGGGGCCAAACUGUUCACAGCAAACAAUUUAAUUGAUGAAUGAAGUGGAUUGCCCAGGAGAUGGUUUCCAGUCAUCUGCUCAUUGCACGAAGCCACUUGGAGAAAGAGCCAUGCCAUCGGGUGUCACCAGCUGCCCAUGUAGGCAUGGGCUGGCUGGGGGUCCCCAACCCCACACUCUCCUGGACCUCUGCCCCUCAAAUGAGCAGCCCAGUGCCAUGAGCACAGCCACCUCCAAGCUCGUCUGCUUCAUCUCACCAAAUGCGUUAUGCUUGCCUACAGAUCCUGCUGCUAUGAGGUCACUGCAGCUAGAGCCAUGACGCUACCACGCUGAAGAUGUCAGUGCUGGUUUGAGUGGGCCCCGACACAACAUGAAAAAGAACAAAGCCAAACUAAACAGCAGCACUUCCUUGUCAGCCUCUGCAAGAAGUGAGGUGGCAGCCUCAGAGGAUUCUCCUCUCCAGCCCUCUGACCCUCUGCACAAUACCACAUAGCUACCAGCAUAGGCUUCUUUCAUCUGGUCAACUAGAGUAAACGACCUCCCCAUCUCCUCCAAAGUGAAUAGCCAUGAAAAUGCACACUGAGAUGAAAGUUUGCAACCCUUGAAAAUAUUCUCUUGCUUGUGAAAGGGCUUCUGAGAAAGAAACAAAAGGGACAAUGAGUGCCAAGGAAGGGGGAGAUACUGCUCAUGCUGCUGGGCAGCAUUUGACCCGUCCCAUGCAGAGGUUGGGAAGAAGAAGGAGACAAGGGGUUGAGACCAGCAGCUGCAGUCACUGCCCUGCAGGAGCAGCAUCUCAGUGUCCACAGAGCCCAAUCCCAAAUUAUUCAGCACAAGUGUUCUCAAACUCUUAUUCUGCUGCUUUCUGGCAGGCACGGUGCUUUCUCUGCAAGUCCCAUUUUACAUCUUUGGUAAUUCGGUGCAGGUGUAACACUCAAUUGUGAAGACCCAGCAGGAGCCUGUGAUGCAGGCAUCUUCAAGACAUAGGGCUUAUCAGUUCAAAUAACACAACUGUCUUUUAUCUUUUGUGUCCCAAGCUGUUCUGGCACUCAUAUUUGUAAUUUGUUGCCUGGCUCUGGGUCUGGCUCCAGCAGGACACUCACUGCUGUCCAUCUGCCUGCAUUGCCGGCAUUUCUGUGUCCACCCAAGGGACCUGAGUGCCUAUGCUCUGCUUAUCUUUGCAUCCUCAUUGGCCAACAGUCACUUUGAAAGCAAGCCUUGGGAGCUGUAGACUUGCAGGUGCUUUCAAACAGUGAGCCCCAAACCCAAGCUGCUCAUCAGUCCCUGCCUCCCAGCAACGGCUGCUCCCUCUCCAUCCCAUAUGGCCUCCAGCAGUGCCCAUACACCCAGCACUACCAUUCCACCCAUGGACCAGCACGCCUUUCACCAGCACUGCAUUCUCUUCAAAAGAGGAUAAACGAGGUAAAAGAAGAAAAGGUGAAAACAUGAUAAUAGCUGUGGGAAAAGGGCCACUGCUAUAGAUUCGACAAUGCUGGAAAUGGAGGCUCUGAGAAAAGUUUUUCUCCUGAAAUUAUUCUUUUCAAUCUCAACAGCUCACCGAAGAAAAGUUUAAGCACACUUUUUAACACCUUUUGUACUCAAAUUCCAAAUUCACUUGUCUACCCAAGCAAUAACAGGAAUAAUCUUUUUUAUCCAGCUGCACAUUCUGCUGUCAAAAUUUGUUUCCAUUAAACUGUUCCCUUUUGUCCUCUUAAAAAGCAUAUUUUAAAUAAUAACAGUGCAAAAAAAAAAAAUUAUACACUAUCCAAAAACUCAACCCUGUCGACUGUGCACUUUUAUACAAAAGUUAUCUCCUUCUCUCGAUGAACUGAUGAAAACCCUUUUCAUAAUGCUGAGGUGGAGAGGAGAAAGAGGAAGAAUACUUCUCAGUGCGCCCAGCACAGCCACUCAUUUCAACAGGAAGCACAUGGCAAACUCUGGGCUUAGAAAACUAAAUUACAGCACCAAGGUGAACCCGACGUUCUUCUUUUUUUUCUGCUUUGUAAAAAACCAUUUUGUGGAAGUUGGAAUGGAGGAACACAUUGAGCUUCUCAUUCAGGGAAAAAAAAAAUGUGUUUUUUCUACAUCCCUUAAAUCUUAACAGGAGAAUGUGAAUUCAAGCUAAUAUAUAUAUAAAACCAUAAUAAACUUGCACUGCUUGCACACCCUCAGCAGUGUGGAAGCUGCAGCUCACUCGUAGUUCCUCCAGGAAGGUCCAUGCUCAGCACCCAGCCCACCAUCCCUCUUCCCCAUGCCCAGCUGUCUCACAUCAGUCUCCUUCUCUCACUCUGGACAUGCAAGUAUGAAGGUUGCUCCCUACCUUUGUG